GGGGCUGUUCGUUUCGAUGGACGGUCAAAGCACGUCGAGCAGGCCGAGGGUGUCGGGAACCUCGUAAAUCCUUCCGGCAACGAAGAUAAAUGCCAACAUCUUCUCAGCAGUGAAGAACGCCUUGCGCGUUCCGAACUUUGCUCCGGCCCUCGCCUAAGGCGAGCCGGCAUCCACCCGAGGACGUCAGAUAAUCGGUUCUGGGUGUCAUAUCAUCUGACUCGGUUGCGCCUCCGUCGAUCAGGCGCCUCCUAAACUGGCGGUCGGCACUUCGGAAGCGGGUUCGUCCCGUUUUCACCCUUCCGGAGGAUAAAGCGGGACUGUGCCUGGAGAAACGAUGCGCGGCGAUGUUCCAGACAGGGGCUCAUCCCCCUCAGCUCCACCA
rnacentral:tmRNA from 1 species